rnacentral:rRNA from 1 species
UGGGGAAUAUUGGACAAUGGGCGCAAGCCUGAUCCAGCCAUGCCGCGUGAGUGAUGACGGCCCUAGGGUUGUAAAGCUCUUUCACCGGUGAAGAUAAUGACGGUAACCGGAGAAGAAGCCCCGGCUAACUUCGUGCCAGCAGCCGCGGUAAUACGAAGGGGGCUAGCGUUGUUCGGAUUUACUGGGCGUAAAGCGCACGUAGGCGGACUAUUAAGUCAGGGGUGAAAUCCCGGGGCUCAACCCCGGAACUGCCUUUGAUACUGGUAGUCUUGAGUUCGAGAGAGGUGAGUAGAAUUCCGAGUGUAGAGGUGAAAUUCGUAGAUAUUCGGAGGAACACCAGUGGCGAAGGCGGCUCACUGGCUCGAUACUGACGCUGAGGUGCGAAAGCGUGGGGAGCAAACAGG